rnacentral:lncRNA from 1 species
UUAAUCCAACUAUCAAGAAGCUCCCUCUUAAUUAGACAAGAUAACUAAACUAGAGAGAAUUGAUAGAUAUUAAAACAACUAAGAGAACUAUAUUUAUGAAGAUAGCAUAUUACAUUUAAAAUGCUUCGUUGAGGUCAUCAUCAAGUUCUUCUUCUAAUUGUAAUUCAAUAUUUGUUAUUCUAGUGUCUAAUUAAUUACUAAGUAAGCCACAAACUUCUACAUGUCUGGCUACUUAGAGGGUAAACAUUUCCUCCAUCCUUUUAUUUAUGUUGGCUAUACUUUCUUGCAUGGAUGAGGAAGAGCAUAGGAUCAACAAUUUUAGCAGUACCUAGCAUAGGAUCACCUUCCUCC